ensembl:snoRNA U3 Small nucleolar RNA U3
AAGAUUAUACUUUCAGGGAUCAUUUCUAUAGUCUGUGACUAGAGAAGUGUGUCUGAUAGUGAAGAGAACUAACACAGCUGCACCAGAAUUUU